rnacentral:ncRNA from 12 species
UUAACUCAGUUGGAAGAGUGACAGGCCCUUAACCUGCUAGUCGUGGGUUCAAGCCCCAC